rnacentral:lncRNA from 1 species
AAAUGUUGAAUAUCAUGAUAAUAAAUUAUUUUCAAAUUUUGAGGAUAAAGACAAGCGCGUUUUAUGGGUUCGAUUGACUAUGCCUUAUGUAGAUGAUGUUGAAUUGGAAUAAAAUUAAUAAAUCGAGAUUUUGUAAAUCAUUAUUUUUUGAAUUCAACUUUGGAGAUGCCACACUAUAUAAUUUAAAGUUUUAAACCAUACUAAACUCGCUACAAUUUAGUGUAUCGGUUUUUUACUAAAUUAAUGAUUAGAUAUGUCUCCAAUUGUAAAAAUCAGAAUAUUUCAUUUCUUGGGAAAACUGAUCAUUUUUGUGUAUAGGUGAAUAAUUCGCAUGAUUGCUAUUAAUCGGGUGAAUUAUUUGUUAAUUACCUGUACGUCCUACCCCAUUAGCCUGUGACUGCAUGUCUAAAAAAGCACCAACAACUUCAUUACAAG